AGAGUUUGAUCCUGGCUCAGGAUGAACGCUGGCGGUCUGCUUAACACAUGCAAGUCGAACGCACCUUUCGGGGUGAGCGGCGGACGGGUGAGUAACGCGUGAGAAUCUGCCUAGAGGUCGGGGACAACCACUGGAAACGGUGGCUAAUACCGGAUGUGCCUUUAGGGGUGAAAGAUUAAUUGCCAGAAGAGGAGCUCGCGUCUGAUUAGCUAGUUGGUGAGGUAAAGGCUCACCAAGGCAGCGAUCAGUAGCUGGUCUGAGAGGAUGACCAGCCACACUGGGACUGAGACACGGCCCAGACUCCUACGGGAGGCAGCAGUGGGGAAUUUUCCGCAAUGGGCGAAAGCCUGACGGAGCAAUACCGCGUGAGGGAGGAAGGCUCUUGGGUUGUAAACCUCUUUUAUCAGGGAAGAACCAAAUGACGGUACCUGAAGAAUCAGCAUCGGCUAACUCCGUGCCAGCAGCCGCGGUAAUACGGAGGAUGCAAGCGUUAUCCGGAAUUAUUGGGCGUAAAGCGUCCGCAGGUGGCUCAUCAAGUCUGCUGUCAAAGGCAGGGGCUUAACCCCUGAAAGGCAGUGGAAACUGGAGAGCUAGAGUGCAGUAGGGGUAGAGGGAAUUCCCGGUGUAGCGGUGAAAUGCGUAGAGAUCGGGAAGAACAUCGGUGGCGAAAGCGCUCUGCUGGACUGCAACUGACACUCAUGGACGAAAGCUAGGGGAGCGAAUGGGAUUAGAUACCCCAGUAGUCC
rnacentral:rRNA from 1 species